AGUGGGGAAUAUUGCACAAUGGGCGAAAGCCUGAUGCAGCAACGCCGCGUGAGCGAUGAAGGCCUUCGGGUCGUAAAGCUCUGUCCUAUGGGAAGAUAAUGACGGUACCAUAGGAGGAAGCCCCGGCUAACUACGUGCCAGCAGCCGCGGUAAUACGUAGGGGGCAAGCGUUAUCCGGAAUUACUGGGCGUAAAGGGUGCGUAGGCGGUUUAUCAAGUCAGGGGUGAAAGGCUACGGCUCAACCGUAGUGAGCCUCUGAAACUGGUGAACUUGAGUGUAGGAGAGGAAAGUGGAAUUCCCAGUGUAGCGGUGAAAUGCGUAGAUAUUGGGAGGAACACCAGUGGCGAAGGCGACUUUCUGGACUACAACUGACGCUGAGGCACGAAAGCGUGGGGAGCAAACAGGAUUAGAUACCCUGGUAGUCCACGCUGUAAACGAUGAGUACUAGGUGUCGGCUGUCAAAGGUCGGUGCCGGCGUUAACACAUUAAGUACUCCGCCUGGGGAGUACGCUCGCAAGAGUG
rnacentral:rRNA from 1 species